AUGGGAGGUUUAGGUGUUUUAGAUUUGGAUAUUAUGAAUAUUUGCUUACUUUGUAAGUGGAUAUGGAAACUUGAAAAUAAUAAUGGUCUUUGGCAAGAUUUGGUAAGGAAGAAAUACCUGAGAAAAUGUACUCUUAGGGGGUGCAAAAAGAAGGUUGGGCAGUCUCAUUUUUGGCAAGGAAUUAUGAGAGUCAACCCUAUUUUCCUCCAGUAUAGUAGAAAAAUAGUGGGUAAUGAGGAGAGAACUAUGUUCUGGAGCGAUAUUUGGCUGGGAGACAAACGUCUCAGUGUGCAAUUCCCUAGAUUGUAUGCCCUAACUUUCAGUGCUAAUUUUACUGUUGCUAAAGCCUUAUCCGAGAACAUGAACUUGAUAAGAUUUAGAAGGAUAUUAUGGGGGGACACUGCUGAUAUGUGGUAUGAGCUGAAAAGCAUCUGUAGUAGUGUAACCUUGAAUGAGCGGGAGGACAAGUGUAGUUGGUUAUUAACCAGAUCAGGAAAAUUCUCUGUUCGAUCCUUGUAUCUAGCUCUUAAAACUAAUCAGGUAGCUUGGCCUCAUAGAAAUCUAUGGAAAGCUAAGAUUCCUCUAAAAGUUAAAGUUUUCAUCUGGUUGGUUUUCAGAAACAGUGUGUUGACUAGAGAUAAUUUAGCUAAAAGAAACUGGAAAGGUAAAGAUAAAAGUUGCAGUUUAUGUGAUCAUUCUGAAACCGUAGAGCAUCUUUUUUGCACUUGUGUGGUAGCCAAGUUUGUGUGA
rnacentral:rRNA from 1 species